AUGCACGCUGACCGCAUGCUUAACACAUGCAAGUCUUUGGCGAAGCUGUGCUUGCACAGCCUAGCCAAGGCGGACGGGUGAGUAACGCGUAAGGAACUUGCCCUGCAGUCAGGGAUAACAGACGGAAACGACUGAUAAGACCUGGUAAAGUCAGGCGGACUCAUGUCCAGCCUGAUGAAAAGAGAUGCUGCAGGAGAGCCUUGCGUCCUAUUAGCUUGUUGGUGGGGUAACGGCCCACCAAGGCGAUGAUAGGUAGCCGGCCUGAGAGGGUGGACGGCCACAAGGGGACUGAGAUACGGCCCUUACUCCUACGGGAGGCAGCAGUGGGGAAUAUUGGACAAUGGGGGCAACACUGAUCCAGCAAUUCUGUGUGCACGAUGAAGGUUUUCGGAUUGUAAAGUGCUUUCAGCAGGGAAGAAAAAAAUGACGGUACCUGCAGAAGAAGCGACGGCUAAAUACGUG
rnacentral:rRNA from 1 species